UGCUCUCUGCGGUGUUCGCCAGUGAGAUCGCAUUAUGCCUUGUCCCUACUUUUUGACCUUGGGACAGCCACUUUCAGGGCCGGUGUGCACAUUCGUUCUGCGAAUAGCCUGAAGGCCCGAAGAGCUCUCCCACCUGAACCUCUGGUUCAAGGUCACCGAUCUUGCAGCGGCAUUUGCGGAGAGCAC
rnacentral:other from 1 species